GGACAGGGGCUUGAACUGUUUGCUCCCAGCCAGACCUCAGAACAGCACGCUGCUGGGGGCCUAGCAGCUGUGUUCUCCAGGAGCUGCUGAAGGUCUGUCAAGAGCCCUCUGCUGUGUGUUAGAAUCUGCACAGUAGCCUCAGGAGGUCACGCUGUCCUCCGGAACAGCCUCCACUGACUAGACACAUCUACGGGACAAAAAGCGUGAAACCACUCUGGGGAACAGCCACACCGCCUAAGGUUGACAACCACCAAUCUAUUUACUGGCUCUUUUGCUCCAGAGAUCAUUUUUAUUCUUCUCACUGACGUCCUCAAAAUCUCCAGGCCAUUUCAAUGCAGAGCACCCCACACGUGGGUUUGCCAGAGUCUUGCAAGAGUACUCCAUGGGGACGGCGAAGCCCACAUUCCUUCAGGCAGUAUGUGGUUCCCCCAGCUUUCACCUCCCAACCUUCACCCCUGGUUGCCGUCAAGAAGCCAUGACAAUGUGUGUGUGGGGAGAUGGGGGAAAGCAGUCAACCUCAAUGCAGUUGUUACGUUGGGUGAUUACGUGGGGUUAUCCUGGGCUUUUAGGGGUGCGCUGAAGCCUUCUGAUCUCUACCCAGGACACGCAUAUGUUGAUGAAUAAAAGCUGUUUGU